CCUACGGGGGACAGCAGUGAGGAAUAUUGGUCAAUGGACGCAAGUCUGAACCAGCCAUGCCGCGUGCAGGAAGACGGCCCUAUGAGUUGUAAACUGCUUUUGUAGGAGGGUAAACGGAGAUACGUGUAGGUGUCUGAAAGUAGCGUACGAAUAAGGAUCGGCUAACUCCGUGCCAGCAGCCGCGGUAAUACGGAGGAUUCCAGCGUUAUCCGGAUUUAUUGGGUUUAAAGGGUGCGUAGGGGGUCGGUUCAGUUAGAGGUGAAAUCCCGCGGCGCAACCGCGGAAUUGCCUCUGAGACGGGUCGUCUUGAGUGUAGUUGCGGUAGGCGGAAUUUCUGUUGUAGCGG
rnacentral:rRNA from 1 species